UGGGUAUGGUCAGAAUCUAAUUGCCCAGGAGACCAAUCUCUUUAGAGGAAAUGGAGUCCCUUGUUGUCAUGGCAACCAACUAAGAAAGGGCUCAGUAUGUCUGUCAGCAGCAAGAGAGAAUCGCCCUGGACACUGAGGUACCACGUCCCCGCACGAAUCUCUGGUCGGCCGGUGCGUCACUCAGGAUCCACAACGAUGACGGUUCAAACAAGAUCAAAGUCUCUUUCUCAGGAAAAUGUCAGAGAGGCCCAGUCUCUUUUGUAGUGAUCCAGGGAAGCCUCAAGAAACAUCCUGUUCCUCUACAGUGACCUCGCUCCAGUCUUCAGGCCUGCAUCUGGUAUUCAUGGAGAUCUUAAGAAGGUAGGAGCCACCUGGUCCAGCUCUCCUGGGUAAGUCUGCAAAGACGCUGCAUCCACAGGAGGUGGCAGCAGCGAGACAGGUGGCCUGCAGACACCUGUGUCUGAUCAGGGAGCGCCCCCUUGUGGCGAGACAGAGCAAUACACGUCAAGGGAGGUGUUCCCACCAUCCAGGUGGUCUCGUGGUUCCAACUUCAGGAGACAGAAAGAAAAUGAGAAUUUAAGGCGGGAGCUCAGGGGCCUAUACAAUAUAAGUGGGCGGUCGUUAGCACUAAGAUGAGAAGUCUUCUCUGUACUUCCUAUUAAAAUAGGCUGUUCUUCAGCGCUGUCUUUUCUACUUGGCUGCAAAUGAUUAAGCAAUUUCCUCACUGGAAAGACGAGGCAGUAAGGCCUGCCAUAGCUCUUACCUGAACCAGUGGAGAGUGAGCUUGGGCUACUGGCUUCCAGAAAUUUAAUCCUCACUCGAGAACAAAGCGCUUUUCUUUCUCCACUCAUUCUAUCUUUUCUCCGCUCAAAAAUUUAAAAUGGAGAAAAAAACAGGCUCAACUUACUUUCUCACCUGGCCCUACCUGAAGCUCUGGGGGAAAUUUUAAAUAAUAAUGAUGACAAUAAGAGCAACAGUAAUGAACAAUAAAUGCUGAGGGCCCUCAACUAAGAUUGAAACG
rnacentral:lncRNA from 1 species